ACAGGUACAUAUAUAAUGAUAAAAUAAUAAGGGUCCAGCCAAAUGUUAUGGUGUAUAGCUGAUGGCGACAGGAAGGGUAUUUGAGGGGCGUUGAACUUGGGGUUGCAAAUACAAGCAUUCUGCUUGAUCUUCUUUGAGACAACGAAAGAGAAUGGGGGAAAAUAAGUGCUACAGCUUCUCCACUGAGCAGCUACUGAAGUUUUGAGGGGAAAGAGGAGAGCCUAAAUCUAAGUAAAGUUAUACAAAUCAAGACGUGCUCAACAACCCCAAAAAACAGCCAGUAAUUUCCAUUCAUAGUAAUUAGUAAU
rnacentral:lncRNA from 1 species